GUAGAGAGGGAAUGAGAAAGAGAGGUAGAGGUAGCGGUAGAGAGGGAAUGAGAAGGAGAGGUAGAGAGGGAAUCGGAGGUAGAGGAAGAGAGAUAAAGAGAAGGAGAGGUAAAGGCAGAGAGAGAAAGAGAAGGAGAAGUAGAGAGGGAAUGAGAAGAAGAGGUAGAGCGGGAAUGAGAAGGAGAGGUAGAGGUAGAGGUAGAGAGAUAAAGAGAAGUAGAGGUAGAGGUAGAGGUAGAGAGAGAAGGAGAGGUAAAGGUAGAGAGAGAAGGAGAGGUAAAGGUAGAGAGAGAAAGAAAGAGAAGGAGAGGUAAAGGUAGAGAGAGAAGGAGAGGUAAAGGUAGAGAGAGAAGGAGAGGUAGAGGUAGAGAGAGAAGGAGAGAGAAGGAGAGGUAAAGGUAGAGAGAGAAGGAGAGGUAGAGGUAGAGAGAGAAGGAGAGGUAAAGGUAGAGAGAGAAGGAGAGGUAAAGGUAGAGAGAGAAAGAAAGAGAAGGAGAGGUAAAGGUAGAGAGAGAAGGAGAGGUAAAGGUAGAGAGAAAAGGAGAGGUAAAGGUAGAGAGAGAAGGAGAGGUAGAGGUAGAGAGAAAAGGAGAGGUAAA
rnacentral:lncRNA from 1 species